rnacentral:rRNA from 1 species
UAGAGUUUGAUCAUGGCUCAGAUUGAACGCUGGCGGCAGGCCUAACACAUGCAAGUCGAGCGGAAACGACACUAACAAUCCUUCGGGUGCGUUAAUGGGCGUCGAGCGGCGGACGGGUGAGUAAUGCCUAGGAAAUUGCCUUGAUGUGGGGGAUAACCAUUGGAAACGAUGGCUAAUACCGCAUAAUGCCUACGGGCCAAAGAGGGGGACCUUCGGGCCUCUCGCGUCAAGAUAUGCCUAGGUGGGAUUAGCUAGUUGGUGAGGUAAUGGCUCACCAAGGCGACGAUCCCUAGCUGGUCUGAGAGGAUGAUCAGCCACACUGGAGCUGAGACACGGUCCAGACUCCUACGGGAGGCAGCAGUGGGGAAUAUUGCACAAUGGGCGAAAGCCUGAUGCAGCCAUGCCGCGUGUAUGAAGAAGGCCUUCGGGUUGUAAAGUACUUUCAGUUGUGAGGAAGGGGGUAGCGUUAAUAGCGCUAUCUCUUGACGUUAGCAACAGAAGAAGCACCGGCUAACUCCGUGCCAGCAGCCGCGGUAAUACGGAGGGUGCGAGCGUUAAUCGGAAUUACUGGGCGUAAAGCGCAUACAGGUGGUUCAUUAAGUCAGAUGUGAAAGCCCGGGGCUCAACCUCGGAACUGCAUUUGAAACUGGUGAACUAGAGUACUGUAGAGGGGGGUAGAAUUUCA